rnacentral:tRNA from 2 species
UCUAAUGUGGCAGACUAGUGCCUUGGGUUUAAGCUCCAAAUAUGAAGCUUGAGCUUUUUUUAGAA